AUUGAACGCUGGCGGCAGGCCUAACCCAUGCAAGUCGAGCGAGCGGCGGACGUGUGAGUAAUGUAUGGGGACUGCCUGAUGGAGGGGGAUAACUACUGGAAACGGUAGCUAAUACCGCAUACUAUCCGAUAACCCAUAUGGGAUUAGCUUGUAGGUGGGUUAAAGGCUCACCUAGGCGACGAUCCCUAGCUGGUCUGCGAGGAUGAUCAGCAACACUGGGACUGAGACACGGCCCAGAGUCCGACGGAGGCAGCAGUGGGGAAUAUUGAACAAUGGGCGCAAGCCUGAUGCAGCCAUGCCGCGUGUAUGAAGAAGGCCUUAGGGUUGUAAAGUACUUUCAGUCGGGAGGCGUUACCGACAGAAGAAGCACCGGCUAACUCCGUGCCAGCAGCCGCGGUAAUAC
rnacentral:rRNA from 1 species